UACGGAGGGGACUAGCGUUGUUCGGAAUUACUGGGCGUAAAGCGCACGUAGGCGGAUUUGUAAGUCAGGGGUGAAAUCCCGGGGCUCAACCUCGGAACUGCCUUUGAUACUGCAAAUCUCGAGUCCGGAAGAGGUGAGUGGAAUUCCUAGUGUAGAGGUGAAAUUCGUAGAUAUUAGGAAGGAACACCCAGUGGCGAAGGCGGCUCACUGGUCCGGUACUGACGCUGAGGUGCGAAAGCGUGGGGAGCAAACAGG
rnacentral:rRNA from 1 species